UUUUAUCAACGAGAUACAAUACAAAUAAGAACAGCUAAGCAAGGCUCAGUUUAUCCGACAUAACACAACGAUCUUUCUAAAUGGGUUCUUUCGACUUGUCCUAUGCUUCAUCAUUCAAGGGAGGAAGUGAAACAUUUCUUCGGAAUGUGUUUGAGAAUAUACUGAAGACGUAUCUGAGGAAGAACCCAACAGCGAAGACCAUAUGGGAGCUUGUUCAGUCAUUGGACAACGAGAAUAUCUGCUACGAUCACUUCACUUUCCAGACGUUUAAGGUGGAGGGUUACGGAAUAGAAUCCUUAUCGAGCUUCUUCAUGGAUUAUGGAUAUAAAGUUGAAGGUGGGCUUGAUUUUCCAACGAAGAAACUAAGAGUUCUCACUUUUUCUCCUCCGGAUAUUUACGUCCCCGAUGAUGGUCAUGGUCUAGGCAAUGGCCCUUUGCCACGACUUGUUAUAGCUGAGCUUUUUGUGGACGAACUAAGUCCUGAAUCACAGGAGAUAAUACGGAAGUAUCUAAAACCGAAAGGAGGUAAAUAAGCGGUUCUUUCAAGUACUUUGGGGUCUUUAAUUUGGGAGAAGCCAACAUCCACCGACUUCCAGCAACUUGCCAAAGAGAGUGAUUUUGCGGCAUGGGUACUUGUUCACGGCUACAUGAUGAACCAUCUUGCAUUUUCUGUUCAUCGACUCAAACACCAAUUUAGUGACAUCAAAUGCAUCAAAGAGUAUCUAGAAGAAAAGGGAUUCGAACUCAACAACGACGGAGGAAUUCUCAAAGUGAGUCAAGAUGGUCUACUAUUACAAGUGUCAUCCAUCUCGGAGAAGAUUGCGUUUGAAUUUGCAGAUGGGGUCACUGAAACAAUCCCGGCUUCAUACAUUGAGUUCACUCAACGUUUGGUUCUUCCGGAGUUCAAAGAUCUGCCUCAUAACCAGAUUAAAGAGUUCCAUAGACGCGAUGGAUUUGAUUUGGGAAACGCAAAAAACAUUUUGGAAAGCGCACGUUUCACCUCAGAUGUCUAGAAUCAGUUUGGUCCAAUCCUGCCUUUAAUAAAAACCAAUAGUAAACAUAUGGGUUUGUGUGUUUCAAAAAAAAAACAAACAUAUGGGUUUGUAAUGCAAGAAAACUAUUUUAAUGUGUGUGCUGUGAUAUAUGUGUGUGUGCCUUCUUUUCAGGAGACAUGUCUCCUGUGGAUUAAAGAUUACUUACUAGUACUACAUCAUUUCACGGUAAUGUGGUUUUACAUCAUUUCACGGUAAUGUGGUCUUAGAUUUUUUUACACGUUCAUAAAAAAUAUUUAGUUUCCAGUAUGUAUUCUCUAGAACUAGUUUUUUUUGUUCAAAAGAACUAAUUUCUCACCGCCGCCUUUAAAGACAAAACUUAAAAAAAAAGAAUUAAGGUUGCAAAUCUCAGUCAACAUCUCCUUAUGUCUGAAAGUGACUAAAAUCUCAGUAUAUCAGUAAAAACUCAGAGCAUUAUAAAAUAAAUAUGUAUUCUUAAAAGGAAAGAAAAGAAAAAUUUUUGAAGUUGAUAUAAAUAUGGGUUUAAAGGAUUUUAAAGUUAUUCAUUUACAUAAUAAUAUACAAACCGUAAAUCCCCUCAAUCGUUUUUGCUUUUUUCUUUAUUUUGUUCAAUAAGUUUUGAUUUGCGGUUGUUCACAAAAGUCUACUACAGUGUCCUCAACCCGAGGUCUCAACAAAGUGCAGCUAUCUAAAAGGUGAAAGCCUGAGUUGAUGAUUAACAAUACCUGAAGCGACAAUGGAAUCUUCAACUUGUACCUACAUAUUCUAGUAGCAGAAGCCCUGCGACAUACAUUCAUAGGGUCAAAACUGGAACGCUUCAUAAAGCUAGAAUAGACAAAUAACACAAGUAUUUUAUUUUUACUUGUUGGAUAUUUUAAGAAUCAUAGAACAAUACAAGACAUAUCCAAAGCUGGGAGCAUAUUAUACGAUCAAAAUUCUCGGCUAUUUCUUCAUGACCACUUACUUUGGCACGUUGAAUGGCUAGCUUGUUUAGGCUGAUGAGAAAAUCAUGCAAAAACAAGUUCAAUGCAAAUUUAUAAUCAAAAUUUUGUUAAGCUAUUGAGAGUGAAAGAUAUAUAGCUUUCAUGAGGAGUUACCAGUUCAGUUUCUGAAAGAGAACACAAACAAGUAAUAUGUUCAA